AUCACUUCUCGGCUUUUUGGCUAAGAUCAAGUGUAGUAUCUGUUCUUAUCAGUUUAAUAUCUGAUACAUCCUCAAUCCAAGGACAAUAUAUUAAAUGGAUUUUUGUAGCUUGGAGUUGGAAUAGGAGCUUGUUCCAUCCACUCAACCUGGUAUUGCAGUACUUCCAGGAAUGGUGCACCCCCU
ensembl:snRNA U2 U2 spliceosomal RNA